UUCGUGUAAUAAUUUAGCAUAUUAUUAUUUAAAUUUUCAGUUAGAUAUUUAUAGUCAAAUUUCUCCAAAGCAUCAUAUUUUAUCUUUUUCUUAAUCUAUUAUCUUUCUUAAUCUAUUAUGGCAUUCCUGUGAUAAUACAAUGCAUAGACUUUAGUAAGCUUAAUUGAAAAGAAACUUAUUUUCCUUGGAAAACACUAACAUGAGCCAAGUCCCAUUAAUAUAAAAACAUCCAUAAAUCUAUCUUUUUAUUAUACAAAGAAUGAACAUAUAGCCUUAAGUGCAUAUGAGCUAUUUCGUUAUUAUUAUCAUAUCCCUUACCAUUCUAUAGUGCAACCCCGAGAAAAUGCAAUAAUAAGAGUUUAAACUAUACAAUCAAAUGACGAAACACAAUUUGUCAAAAGCAAAUAGAGUAAACUGCCUAUUUUUGAUAAUCUUGUUAAUUUAAACAUAGGCUUACAUAAAAACCUAUUUAAAACAAGUCACUUUUGAAGUCCGAAACAACU
rnacentral:lncRNA from 1 species